CCCCGACCGGCACGAGGCGUUCAGCGAGCAGGGGCGGGGACGAGGUCCGCGCAGCCGGCUUCCCCCCGCGCUAGUUCUGGCCGGGCCCUGGUUUCGCUGCUCCCGAGGGGGCGGCCGGCGGAGCCCCAGGUGGUGUCGGGCAGCCUGCCCAGUGACCUUCGCUGUCGCCCCUGCCCUCUCUCUGCCCUCACUUCUACUUACCAUUUACUGCCUGCUGUUUGUGGGGGGUUUAAAAGGCUCAAGGGGGACAAAUCGCAGUGAGGGAGCUGUCAGGGUCUGAGCGGGGGGAGGGCAGAAAUUUACCCUCCUGAUUUGCAACCCCAUGGACCAGGGGCAGCAAGUCCUGAGCAGUAGCCUACAUAGUCACGUUGCGUGGCGGAAACUGCACCUAGUUGCGAAACGGGAGGGUUGCUAAACCUGUCGUUACACCAGCCAGGCUGUGCAGCCCUGGCUCAUGGUGAGGUGGGGUAGAUAAUAACGGCUUGCAGUGGGCGCCUGUUCCUGCUCCCUCAGCAGACUCCGCCUGAUAUGUCCUAGCUAGAGGCAUCUAUGCUGUUGUCUUGGCGUUCAGUAACACACAUGGAGAUGGGCAGAGCCAGACAUCAUGAGGUUAGCAAGCACUUGAAUGUAUCUAGCCAGAUGAUAAUAUCAGGGUUGGAAGGGACCUCAGGAGGUCACCUAGUCCAACUCCUUGCUCAAAGCAGGACCAACUCCAACUAAAAGCUCUGCCUGGGAUGAUUAUCAAGCUUGACCUUAAAAACCUCUAAGGAAGGAGAUUCCACCACCUCCCUCGAAUCUGUGUGAGAAAAGAGGAAUAGCUAACAAAGAUCUCAACAAAGCCCUGCUCUGUAGACAGAGCCUACACUGACAGAAGGGUGUAGAAACGCCAUCUCCCCGAGCGCUUUUCCAUCUAUGUCUAUACAGGUCGGGGGCAACAGACUAUUCCUUGGUUCUGACCUAGAAGGCUGGAGUCCCUGUUUGUAUUGUCUGCCCCAGCUGAGAGUCUCAACAUCUGUGUGUCGGGGUGUAUCAACCUUGCACUAGAUAAGAGAAAUAGAACAAAAGUAAAGCAUAAACAUGAGCAUCUGUGAAGCAACUAUAAAGUUAUUGCUGGCCAGGUUGGGGAAUGACAAAUUAAGAGAUGAGCAUGAACCAUAAAAAUGGUUGUCUGGAAGAAAGACAAAGAAUGUGGACACCAAAAAUGGGAAACAAACAUGAGCCAAGGAAAGGGAGACAGAAAGGCAGCAGCAAGAAGCAGCAUGCUGCCCAGACCUGGAAGCAGAAGCAGCUGCACACCAACAAGCCAUGGAGCUGGAAAAGAAGGAAACCCAAGAAAAUGAGAAGGAAAGGCUUCAUGCCCAGAGCAAAAUGGGCAAACAGGCAAAUCCCACAGUCUCCAGGUACUCCCUCCAUCCAAGGAACACCCAGCCGGGACAGGUUGUGCCCUGCAUACAAAAAAGAAGCAGAUUGUAUUGAAGCAUAUUUUAGCACUUUUGAAAGGUUAUGUGAGGUUCAUAAAGUUCCAGAAGAUAAGGAAGUCCCCCAAUUGCAAAUCCCCCGAUUGUGUGGUAAAACAUUAAAUAUAUUUAAUGAAAUGCUAGUUGAAAAAGCUUUGAAAUAGUCUGACUUUUAAAAAUGUGUCUUGCAAAGCUUUCAAAUUACCCCUGAGUUGUGCAGUCUGAAAUUCACAAAUCUCAGGAAAAGUGUUGGCAUGAGUCAAUGUGUCUAGAAGAUGUGUCGCCCAACAAGAAAAAGGGAAAAGUGGCUGAGAACUAUGACUGUUUGUUUGAUCUCUUUGCUCAAGAGCAUUUUCUAAGCAUAUGUUCUGAGAUGUAAUAUAGAAUAAAUCUUUAAAUUCUCUGCAGGAAGUUGCCAUCCUGCCUCCUGAUUCCUUUGUACAAGCCCAAAUGUCUAAUAAGCACAAGACACCGAAGUAGGGACAGAAGCUUGGUAUAAAGGGGAUGACCCUGUUUUACCACUGGAUAGAAGGGGAGUGGUUGGGACCCCAGGUGCUCACCUCCUCAGAAUCAUUCCCUUGCUGGAAAUCCCUGUUAUACACAACCUGUACAGGAGAAUGGUCCAAGAAGGUACCACCCAUGUAACUCCACUGAGCACAUGAGAAAUAAGUGCCUUAAGAUAAACUAAGAUCACACCCAAUCCAACGCAGGUUAAUGCAAGUGUCAUUAACACCAAUUAAUUUUGUGAUGCCUGAUCUUGAGGAAGUGGACCUGGAGUUUAUCAUGGUUGCCAAUGUAAAUUGCAAGGAGUGGGUAGCCUCAAGGGACAUUAGAGUACAAAUUUCUCAGGUCAAGGAAAGCAUAUUCAGAAAAACUGGAUACACAUGUUACCUGACCAGGAAGUAGAGCUCCUUGCACUGGAAAAAUAUAAAAUAGCUGUACCUCUGGCUAAGGUGCAUUUUGAAUUAGAAGGUUUGAAAGGUACCUUGAAAGUUGAGAUAUUAAGCAGCACUUCCACAGCAAUGCUGGUGGGAAGUGAUAUUUUUUAGUAUGUUCGCAGAUCUUAAUAUUGUAACCCAUAGAAGAGAAUUGUGCAGACAAAGAAGCAGCUGUGGAAGAAGGGGACAUCCCCUGCUGAGCAAGAGGAAGCAAAGUGCUUUCAGAUGUGGGAGGGAUUGAGGCCAGCUCUUGCAUAACAGAGGAAAGUAGAAUCCUCUGAGACUGGGAGAGGGGGAAUUUACCUCUGCUACUGAAGAAUCUGUCCCAGUUGUCAGCUGCUAGCAUUUUGCAGAUGAAUUAAGGGUAGACUGCACUCUAGAGUGCAUAUGGAGAUAUGUCCUGAAGGGGACCUCAGUGAGGGGAAAUGGAGAAUAUAGAGGUAAGCUCAUGGGGGGAACAGUAAAAUCCCUGGGAAACCUUACAAGUGGCUGACUGUGCCUGCCCAGCACUGUGGGGAAUUAAUCUUGCUGACACAUGAUUUUCCUUUUACUGGUCACUUAGGGCCGUGGAAAUCUGUGAACAUUUAAA